rnacentral:rRNA from 3 species
CGGCCGCGACCCCAGGUCAG